CAGGAAGAUAAUGUGAGAUUUUGGGAAUGUCAUAUUAUUACCUGGUGUGUUUGGUUAAAGUUGUAGGAAUGUAAUAUUAACUUGUUUGGUUGAAGGUUAUAUUUUAGGUUA